CGUGUAAUGGUGGUAAAUACGCUAAUCGAGAUGAUGAUUAUCCUUAGCAAGCAUCAAUACGCGUGGGCGGUUAUCACAAGUGCGAUGGAUCUGUCAUAAACAAUCAGUGGAUUCUAACCACGGCUCAUUGUCUCAUAAAAUAUUGCAAUCAAGCUUCAGCAGUAAUCACUUGAUUAACGGCGGAGUCGCUUAUCAGGCGGCAAGAAUCUUCAUUCAUCCGGAUAUUACAAUAAAGUUAUUGUUAAUAUAAUUGAAACUGGCGCCCGUGACAUUGGACUACUAAAAAUUACUCGUGUUAUUGAAUUUACAGAAGCGGUUAAGCCAAUUAAGCUUGCUAAUUUCGACAUUCUAAAAGCUAAACAAAACUGCGUAGAAGCAAUCUUCACCGGAUGGAGAAACAAAUAUUUGAACGAGACGAACAAUGAUGUGCUUCAAGAGAUUCAACUCUGUGUCAUUAAACUCUCUACUUGUAGAAAAACAUUUACAAAAGUUGGUUCCGGAAAUUUUUGUACUUUUAAUAAAUUUGACGAAGGAAUUUAUUAUUUUAACUCAAGAUUACGCUAAACAACAGGAUAAUUUUAAGUUAAAAAACUUGUCUGCGGAGGAUUAAAAAAUACUUAUAUUUAUAAAAAGUAGUUGAGACAAAUAAUUUAAAAAACUUUCCCCUGCAGGAUGAUUCAGGCAGACCAUUAGUUACAGAUGGCCACCAGAUAGGGAUAACCGCCUGGGGUUCUCCAUGUGCACAAGGUUAUCCCGACGUCCACACGAAUGUAUACCACUACCUCAGCUGGAUAAAAUCAACAAUCGAGUUCAUGAGCGAUAUAAAUGACUGUGUACAUUCUAUCAUGAUAAGAUAACUCAAAAUUUAAACAAUAUCCAUAAAUAAAUAAAUAAUUAAUCUUUCAUCAGACAAUGGAUAUAUCCCGUUCCAACUAAACGACAUCACCGCGGGAAUUGAGCACGCGAGUCACGUAGUGUCCUGGGCCUGGGACUCAACAAUACCUAAGAUACC